rnacentral:misc_RNA from 1 species
AACGCACCUUGCGCUCCGUGGCAUUCCGCGGAGCAUGCCUGUUUGAGUGUCGCGCCCCCCUCUCAACCCCGCCCGGCUCGCGCCGGGUCCGGGGCUUGGAUCCUGGCCUCGGUCGCCUCGCACGAGGCGAAGGCCGAAAGACGGACGCGCCCUGGGCGCUGCGGCUUGACCGGACCGAUUGUACGCACCCUUCGGCGCCGGGACGCAGCGUCUGGACGCGACGAACGCGCUAGCACACCCAUGAGUUUGACCUCAAAUCAGGUAGGACGACCCGCUGAACUUAA